GGGGGAGAGUCUGUUGCUUGGCUGUGAGAACAUUCUCGCCCUGACAGUAGCUGUGGCCACCUUUUGCUUGAGCAGCGCAGACAACUGGUUCUUAUCAGAUGGGAGUGUGAAGACGACUCUGAGCUCUGAGCUCUCGGAAUUUCAAAGAAGGCACUUUGUAAGUCAAACUCAACUAACUUCAUUAUCCUGUGAUGCAGGCUCCUCCAAAUGGCCGCAGAAACGUACUACUGUCUACAGAUCCCACAGCAGGAGUGAGAUUCGGAGUUCUACAGUGACAGAAACUCUUCAAGGUCAAGGGCCCAGUCUUCAUCUUCUGUUUUUAAUUCGGUGUAAAUCCAGUAGACAUCAGAAAAUGCGGGGCACAGAAUGGA
ensembl:lncRNA LOC108352413 uncharacterized LOC108352413